GAUGAAGAACGUAGCGAAAUGCGAUAAGUAAUGUGAAUUGCAGAAUUCAGUGAAUCAUCUAAUCUUUGAACGCACAUUGCGCCCGCCAGUAUUCUGGCGGGCAUGCCUGUUCGAGCGUCAUUACAACCCUCAGGCCCCCGGGCCUGGCGUUGGGGAUCGGCGGAGCCCCCCGUGGGCACACGCCGUCCCCCAAAUACAGUGGCGGUCCCGCCGCAGCUUCCAUCGCGUAGUAGCUAACACCUCGCGACUGGAGAGCGGCGCGGCCACGCCGUAAAACACCCAACUCUUCUGAAGUUGACCUCGAAUCAGGUAGGAAUACCCGCUGAACUUAAGCAUAUCAAUAAGCGGAGGA
rnacentral:misc_RNA from 1 species